rnacentral:rRNA from 1 species
GAUGAACGCUGGCGGCGUGCCUAAUACAUGCAAGUCGAGCGAACAGACGAGGAGCUUGCUCCUCUGGCGUUAGCGGCGGACGGGUGAGUAACACGUGGAUAACCUACCUAUAAGACUGGGAUAACUUCGGGAAACCGGAGCUAAUACCGGAUAAUAUAUUGAACCGCAUGGUUCAAUAGUGAAAGACGGUUUUGCUGUCACUUAUAGAUGGAUCCUCGCCGCAUUAGCUAGUUGGUAAGGUAACGGCUUACCAAGGCAACGAUGCGUAGCCGACCUGAGAGGGUGAUCGGCCACACUGGAACUGAGACACGGUCCAGACUCCUACGGGAGGCAGCAGUAGGGAAUCUUCCGCAAUGGGCGAAAGCCUGACGGAGCAACGCCGCGUGAGUGAUGAAGGUCUUCGGAUCGUAAAACUCUGUUAUUAGGGAAGAACAAAUGUGUAAGUAACUAUGCACGUCUUGACGGUACCUAAUCAGAAAGCCACGGCUAACUACGUG